rnacentral:lncRNA from 1 species
AUUAAUGAACCAUCAUUUAUAAAACAUUAAUACAAAUGGGCCGUCAAAGUCUCUAACAUACUGUACAAAAUGAACUUCUGUGUCUACAAAGCCUCCAAGAUUAUUUGACAUAAAAUGGGACAGGGUACCGGCUGACCCAUAAAUCUGUAGCAAAAUUCUGACAUGAUGAUUCAUGGACUCGGCUGCUCUCCGAAUCAGGUGGAGUCUUACCGAUCCUUCGCUGAAUGCCAAUCUCAUCUACUAUGAGGGCUCGUCAAACUGAUUAUCUAUACCUGCAGGCAUGAAUGCAGCAUCCCCAACAAAAUGAGAUCAGUACGAAUAAUGUACUGAGUAUGUAAGGCAGAACUGAAACAUAACAAUAAGUCAACAUUAAUUAAAGAUAUAUAAGAAUCAACCUGCAUCUCUGAGGUGCCACCGUAUAUUCAUACUUACAUAUAUAAUGCUUCGCUUUGAGACUACUAUUCAUAUAGUAUGAUGCAUGACUGCCCAACUGAUCAGUGGUAACUUCCCGACCGACUGUAGCGCGGUGGUAAAUGCAUGACUGCCCGACCGACCAUAGUUCGAUGGUAAAUAUGUAACUGCCCAACCGGCCGUAGCUCGGUGGUAAAUGUGUAACUGCCCAAUCGGCCGUAGCUCGGUGGUAAAAUUAAUAUGCAUGUCUGCCCAUGCGGCGGUAAAUAAUGAUACGUAACUGCCCAACUAGUGGUAAAUGUGUAACUGCCCAACCGGCCGUAGCUUGGUGGUAAAUGCAUAUGUAUGAAAAUGCACGUAUUACAGUAUUAUGAACAUUAACGUCUUUAUUCAAUACCUCAAUAGGGAACUAGAUACAUACAUAGACAUGCUUGAAUAUCACUUUACAGGAAGGAAUAAUAUAGACAUCCUUAGCUGCUAAGAGUAGAAACACUUAUAAAAUAGCAUUACGUUAAUAUAUCGUUACUUGGAUCAUGCCAAUAGAAAAGAAGGAUAGCAUUAAUAUACCUUUAGUGACGACUUUAUUGAAGGUGAUGAACUUGUCCAUCUUCAAACGUAAUCUGCGCCAAUUUUUCUAGAAAAUCCUUCUGAAAAUGUAGCAUGAGCCUUAAAAGAAAAGAAGGAAACCACAACGACAAAGAUGUGGGAAGUUUCAGACCUUAAGAGUGUAGGAUUUUAGAGCCUCCACGGAGCAAAUAGACUAUGCUUAUAAUUUAUGCUUCUAUGAAGCCAAAUAAAAUAAGAAAAAUUCUUGAAAAGCUAAAAAGACCUCUAAUCUCAAGAGCACGCUCUCUUGCUAUUGUAUUUACAUAGUAAGUAGGGAGAAAGAAAAGGAUAAAGGAAGUUAUACUUGAAAAAUAAUUUUUCCCAAAAAAGUACUUAAAGUAGGAGAUAGAAAACACUUAGUAAGUGCUCAAUCUAAUGUCAUCAUCGUAGCAAGCUUACUCAACAAUUUACUUAUGCAACAAUAGAUCACCCCAAGGUAGAAGCCAAAACCAAACACUUGAAUUCUAGAGAUAAGGUAGUUACAACCUCAAGCUGCACUCAACUCCACAGUUUUCUUCGACCCUCAAUGACCCUUUCUUACUUACGUUCUUUUUUUUUUUACCUUGGGAAAUACCUUCUUAUGAAGUUGAUAUAUCAAUUAGGAAGAAUGUCGGACAUUAUCUAAAUAAUCCACUAACCUAAUGAACUAAGAGUCAGCACUACCUAAAGCA